rnacentral:rRNA from 1 species
GACGAACGCUGGCGGCGUGCUUAACACAUGCAAGUCGAACGGAAAGGCCCUGCUUUUGUGGGGUGCUCGAGUGGCGAACGGGUGAGUAACACGUGAGUAACCUGCCCUUGACUUUGGGAUAACAUCAGGAAACUGGGGCUAAUACCGGAGAGGAGCUCCUGCUGCAUGGGGGGGGUUGGAAAGUUUCGGCGGUAGGGGCUGUACUCGCGGGUUAUCAGCUUGUUUGGGGGGUAGUGGCUUACCAAGGCUUAGACGGGUAGCCGGCCUGAGAGGGUGACCGGCCACAUUGGGACUGAGAUACGGCCCAGACUCCUACGGGAGGCAGCAGUGGGGAAUAUUGCACAAUGGGCGGAAGCCUGAUGCAGCAACGCCGCGUGCGGGAUGACGUCCUUCGGGUUGUAAACCGCUUUCGCCUGUGACGAAGAGUGAGUGACGGUAAUGGGUCAAGAAGCACCGGCUAACUACGUG